rnacentral:rRNA from 1 species
GAACGCUGGCGGCGUGGUUAAGGCAUGCAAGUCGAACGGAAACAGAUCGCUGCGAUCCCUUCGGGGUGAGCUUGAUGCUGUCGAGUGGCGGACGGGUGAGUAAUACUUGGGAAUCUACCCAGUAGUGGGGGACAACACGAGGAAACUCGUGCUAAUACCGCAUACGUCCUACGGGAGAAAGUGGGGGAUCUUCGGACCUCACGCUAUUGGAUGAGCCCAAGUCGGAUUAGCUUGUUGGUGGGGUAAAGGCCUACCAAGGCGACGAUCCGUAGCUGGUCUGAGAGGACGAUCAGCCACACUGGGACUGAGACACGGCCCAGACUCCUACGGGAGGCAGCAGUGGGGAAUAUUGAACAAUGGGGGCAACCCUGAUUCAGCAAUGCCGCGUGUGUGAAGAAGGCCUGCGGGUUGUAAAGCACUUUCAGUAGAGAAGAAAUGCCCGGGGUUAAUAACCCCGGGUCUUGACGUAACCUACAGAAGAAGCACCGGCUAACUCCGUGCCAGCAGCCGCGGUAAUACGGAGGGUGCGAGCGUUAAUCGGAAUUACUGGGCGUAAAGCGCGCGUAGGCGGCCUGAUCAGUCGGAUGUGAAAGCCCUGGGCUCAACCUGGGAAUUGCAUUCGAAACUGUCAGGCUAGAGUAUGGGAGAGGGAAGUGGAAUUUCCGGUGUAGCGGUGAAAUGCGUAGAUAUCGGAAGGAACACCAGUGGCGAAGGCGACUUCCUGGCCCAAUACUGACGCUCAGGUGCGAAAGCG